GGAUUGUGGCUCAGCGGUAGAGCACUUGCCUAGCACGUGCGAGGCCCUGGGUUCCAUCCUUAGCACCA
rnacentral:tRNA from 1 species